rnacentral:rRNA from 1 species
GACGAACGCUGGCGGCAUGCCUAACACAUGCAAGUCGAACGGAAGUAGCAAUACUUUAGUGGCGAACGGGUGAGUAACACGUGAGCAACCUGCCCUAUACAACGGGAUAACACAGAGAAAUUUGUGCUAAUACGGUAUAAGACCACAGUAUCGCAUGAUACAGGGGUAAAAGAUUUAUCGGUAUAGGAUGGGCUCGCGACCCAUUAGCUAGUUGGUGAGGUAACGGCCCACCAAGGCAACGAUGGGUAGCCGACCUGAGAGGGUGAUCGGCCACACUGGGACUGAGACACGGCCCAG